ensembl:lncRNA
AAAUAAGCCACAUUCCAUGGAACUCUUUGUUCUUGUGUGUUUAGGGGGAAAAAGUGAUACCUAUAAGCAGUGCUCUCCAAGCUUUAGUAGAUUUUUCUCUGUCUGCUGUAUUCAGGUGGCUUUUGUGCAGAGAACUGCUCCUUGCAGAGCAUGCCUUGCCCAACCCCAAGGUGGGAAUUAAGCUCUUUGCCUGAGAAGUGAUAUUAUCAGCUCUGCUCUCAAACCCCAUUGUGCCUGAAUAGAGCUGGAGCAAGUGGGGAUAGAGGCGAAGAGACCAUAAUGACUCCUUUUUGAAGCCACACAAAAGGCAGCCAGGACUUCAGCAGGAAACCUGAGGAGUUGAGAGGCAGCACCGAGGUCUCAGUGGACAUGGGGUAUUUAUUCUCCUUCUCUUUGCUGGCCCUGGAGGGUUUGUGGAGCGGCCAGAGCAAGCAGCGAGCAAGUAACCGCCUGCCUGAUAAAGGCAGAAUUGAUGAUGAAGAAUGAAACAUUUCAUCAGAAACCAAUUCCACUCCAUCUGGUUUUGACACCAGAAAGGGUUGAGAUCAUCCGGUGGAAGAUGCUAUGGAUGAGUGAAGUCUCUUUAUUGAAUUCCAUGGCCGUGGUACUGCCAGUUCACUCCUUCCCUCUUGUCUCACAAAACAGCCCUGCAGUGGGUACCAGGCAUUGGUGUGCAAUGACCAUUCCACAGGGUGCUCCCCAGAGGAAUUUUGGCCUGACUUUGUAUAGUUUUAGUUUCACAGAGUUAUUGAAUCAUUCAGGUUGGAGAAGACCUCUGAGAUCACCAAGUCCAACCCCAACCCAUCUCACCAUGCCCACUGACCACGUCCCUCAGUGCCACAUCUCCAUGGUUCUGGAACACCUCCAGGGAUGAUGACCCCACCACCUCCCUGGGCAGCUGUGCCACUGCCUGUCUGCUCUGUUGGAGAAGAAACGUUCCUAAUAUGCAACCUGAAUCUUCGCUGUUGCAUCGUGAGGCCAUCACCUCUCAUCCUCAGCCUCUGCAUCCUCCAGUUUGCAUAUCAAGCAAAUCUUGGG